rnacentral:snRNA from 1 species
UGUCGUUAAGUUUUCGUUAAC